AGUGAACGCUGGCGGUAGGCCUAACACAUGCAGGUCGAACGGCAGCACAGUAAGAGCUUGCUCUUACGGGUGGCGAGUGGCGGACGGGUGAGGAAUACAUCGGAAUCUACUUUUUCGUGGGGGAUAACGUAGGGAAACUUACGCUAAUACCGCAUACGACCUACGGGUGAAAGCAGGGGAUCUUCGGACCUUGCGCGAUUGAAUGAGCCGAUGUCGGAUUAGCUAGUUGGCGGGGUAAAGCCCCACCAAGGCGACGAUCCGUAGCUGGUCUGAGAGGAUGAUCAGCCACACUGGAACUGAGACACGGUCCAGACUCCUACGGGAGGCAGCAGUGGGGAAUAUUGGACAAUGGGCGCAAGCCUGAUCCAGCCAUACCGCGUGGGUGAAGAAGGCCUUCGGGUUGUAAAGCCCUUUUGUUGGGAAAGAAAAGCAGCAGGUUAAUACCCCGCUGUUCUGACGGUACCCAAAGAAUAAGCACCGGCUAACUUCGUG
rnacentral:rRNA from 1 species